UACGUAGGGGGCAAGCGUUGUCCGGAUUUAUUGGGCGUAAAGAGCGUGUAGGCGGCCAGGUAGGUCAGCUGUGAAAACCCGAGGCUCAACCUCGGGCCUGCAGUCGAUACGGGCAAACUAGAGUACUGCAGGGGAGACUGGAAUUCCUGGUGUAGCGGUGAAAUGCGCAGAUAUCAGGAGGAACACCGGUGGCGAAGGCGGGUCUCUGGGCAGUAACUGACGCUGAGGAGCGAAAGCGUGGGGAGCGAACAGG
rnacentral:rRNA from 1 species